UACGUAGGGUGCGAGCGUUAAUCGGAAUUACUGGGCGUAAAGCGUGCGCAGGCGGCUUGCCAAGUCAGAUGUGAAAGCCCCGGGCUCAACCCGGGAACUGCGUUUGAAACUGGCAGGCUAGAGUGUGGCAGAGGGGGGUGGAAUUCCACGUGUAGCAGUGAAAUGCGUAGAGAUGUGGAGGAACACCGAUGGCGAAGGCAGCUCCCUGGGCCAAAACUGACGCUCAGGCACGAAAGCGUGGGGAGCAAACAGG
rnacentral:rRNA from 1 species